UGCCCCUCACUUGCCAAUACGUCUAGAUCAGCCAGGGCGUCGGCAUGUGUAGCGUAUUAUGUUGGGCUCUCUUGAGAUAAGGAUACGAUGUCCCUUUAUCGGUUGGUUUCCUGUGUGCGCGGCCCGUUCGGUUUUUUGUUACUUUCGCAUCGUUCGGUGCAUUCUGGGGGCUGUGUUGGCUUUUGGUGGCUUGCUUGGCCUUUUGGCUUUGCUUGUUGCUACUUGUCGGGCUGCUUUCGGGAAUGUCGACCGUGGAGGUGCAUGAGUGGUGUUUGGUUUGUUACGUGUGGAUGGCUGUUUGCUUGUGCAACAACGUUCACGCUGCAUACCUCUUCAGUUUUGCGGCAAGGCUUGGUUUGGCUUGUGCAUAUUGUGGGUUUCCUGUGUUGCAUACCUAGUUGAUGGAAAAGUGUGGGUUUUACGAUUUUCAUUUUCGUCUUGCGUCGUUCUUUUGGCGUGGGAUGAACAAUGAAGCGAUCUUUAUGAUCCAUCGCGCUGUUGCGUUUGCAACAAUGAUGUGGCCUAUGAAGCAUCGUUUGGUCUCUUGUAUACGGAAGCUCAUUUGGGCUUGGGUCUUUAUAAGAUCUUCGUUACGCCCUUGUUAAGCGUUCUUGCUUCUCCUAAACGAUUG
rnacentral:misc_RNA from 1 species